rnacentral:rRNA from 1 species
CAGUAGCCACGGUAAAACGAAGGGAGCGAGCGUUGUUCGGAAUCACUGGGCUUAAAGAGUGCGUAGGCGGAAGUGUAAGUCAGAAGUGAAAGCCCAGGGCUCAACCUUGGAAUUGCUUUUGAGACUGCAUUUCUAGAAUUCGGUAGAGGCUGAUGGAAUGUCCAGUGUAGAGGUGAAAUUCGCAGAUAUUGGACGGAACACCAGUGGCGAAGGCGAUCAGCUGGGCCGAUAUUGACGCUGAGGCACGAAAGCGUGGGUAGCAAACAGGAUUAGAUACCCCCGUAGUCCCUGUCUCUUAUAC